GAGUUUUAGUAGAUCGUUCCGAUACCUCCGAUAGCCCCGAUAACGAUACUAUGCAUGCGCAAGGCGGAGUAUCGUGAUCGGCAGUAUCGGAGGUAUCGGAACGAUCUACUAAAACUC
rnacentral:pre_miRNA from 1 species